GAUGAACGCUGGCGGCGUGCCUAAUACAUGCAAGUCGAGCGAACAGAUGAGGAGCUUGCUCCUCUGACGUUAGCUGCGGACGGGUGAGUAACACGUGGAUAACCUACCUAUAAGACUGGGAUAACUUCGGGAAACCGGAGCUAAUACCGGAUAAUAUAUUGAACCGCAUGGUUCAAUAGUGAAAGACGGUUUUGCUGUCACUUAUAGAUGGAUCCGCGCCGCAUUAGCUAGUUGGUAAGGUAACGGCUUACCAAGGCAACGAUGCGUAGCCGACCUGAGAGGGUGAUCGGCCACACUGGAACUGAGACACGGUCCAGACUCCUACGGGAGGCAGCAGUAGGGAAUCUUCCGCAAUGGGCGAAAGCCUGACGGAGCAACGCCGCGUGAGUGAUGAAGGUCUUCGGAUCGUAAAACUCUGUUAUUAGGGAAGAACAAAUGUGUAAGUAACUAUGCACGUCUUGACGGUACCUAAUCAGAAAGCCACGGCUAACUACGUG
rnacentral:rRNA from 1 species